CCUACGGGCGGCAGCAGUGAGGAAUAUUGGUCAAUGGUCGGGAGACUGAACCAGCCAAGCCGCGUGAGGGAGGAAGGUACAGAGUAUCGUAAACCUCUUUUGUCAGGGAACAAAGGCGGGGACGUGUCCCCGGAUGAGUGUACCUGAAGAAAAAGCAUCGGCUAACUCCGUGCCAGCAGCCGCGGUAAUACGGAGGAUGCGAGCGUUAUCCGGAUUUAUGGGGUUUAAAGGGUGCGCAGGCGGUCUGUUAAGUCAGCGGUAAAAGCCCGGGGCACAACCCCGGACCGCCGUGGAAACUGGGAGUCUCGAGUUGGAGAGAAGUAUGCGGAAUGCGCGGUGUAGCGGUGAAAUGCGUAGAUAUCGCGCAGAACUCCGAUUGCGAAGGCAGCAUGCCGGCUCCACACUGACGCUGAGGCACGAAAGCGUGGGUAUCGAACAGGAUUAGAUACCCGGGUAGUC
rnacentral:rRNA from 1 species